CUACGGGGCGCUGCAGUGAGGAAUAUUGCACAAUGGGGGGAACCCUGAUGCAGCAACGCCGCGUGGAGGAUGACGCAUUUCGGUGUGUAAACUCCUUUUAUAUGUCAAGAAAAUGACGGUAGCAUAUGAAUAAGCACCGGCUAACUCCGUGCCAGCAGCCGCGGUAAUACGGAGGGUGCAAGCGUUACUCGGAAUCACUGGGCGUAAAGGACUCGUAGGCGGGUUGGAAAGUCAGGUGUGCAAUCCUACAGCUUAACUGUAGAACUGCACUUGAAACUUCUAAUCUAGAGUAUGGGAGGGGGAGAUGGAAUUAGUGGUGUAGGGGUAAAAUCCGUAGAUAUCACUAGGAAUACCUAAAGCGAAGGCGAUCUCCUGGAACAUUACUGACGCUAAGGCGUGAAAGCGUGGGGAGCAAACAGGAUUAGAUACCCCCGUAGUC
rnacentral:rRNA from 1 species